rnacentral:rRNA from 1 species
CCUACGGGAGGCAGCAGUGGGGAAUUUUGGACAAUGGGCGAAAGCCUGAUCCAGCAAUGCCGCGUGAGUGAAGAAGGCCUUCGGGUUGUAAAGCUCUUUUGUCAGGGAAGAAACGGUGUUUUCUAAUACAGAAUGCUAAUGACGGUACCUGAAGAAUAAGCACCGGCUAACUACGUGCCAGCAGCCGCGGUAAUACGUAGGGUGCAAGCGUUAAUCGGAAUUACUGGGCGUAAAGCGUGCGCAGGCGGUUUUGUAAGUCUGACGUGAAAUCCCCGUGCUCAACCUGGGAAUUGCGUUGGAGACUGCAAGGCUAGAGUUUGGCAGAGGGGGGUAGAAUUCCACGUGUAGCAGUGAAAUGCGUAGAUAUGUGGAGGAACACCGAUGGCGAAGGCAGCCCCCUGGGUCAAGACUGACGCUCAUGCACGAAAGCGUGGGGAGCAAACAGGAUUAGAUACCCUGGUAGUCCACGCCCUAAACGAUGUCUACUAGUUGUCGGGCCUUAAUUGACUUGGUAACGCAGCUAACGCGUGAAGUAGACCGCCUGGGGAGUCGGUCGCAAGNUUAAAACUUAAAUGAAUUGAGGCUUGGNGAGNGCGAGNGACGACGAGGAGAGG